rnacentral:lncRNA from 1 species
GAGCUGACUAAGGCUUUGGAACAGAAACCAGAUGAUGCACAUAUAUUAUCGUCAAAGAGCUUAUUGUCACAUUCUUCUUGGGAAUUACUGUGUUGCUGUUGCUGAUGCAAAGAAGUCUCGCGAAUUCAAUCCAAAUAAUUCCACUGCUGUGCUGAGAAAAGGGAUAUGUGAAUACCAUUUAAAAAACUAUGCUGCUGCUCUAGAAACUUUUAUAGGAGGACAAAAAUUAGUAAGUGCAGAUGCUAAUUUCAGUGACUGGAUUAAAAGGUGUCAAGAAGCUCAGAAUGGCUCAGAAUCUGAGGUGGUAAGUCCAGAGUUUUCAUUCUUCAUGUUUUUACUUACUUAGGUUAAAUUUCAAGUACCAAGUAUAUUUGAGACAGGACACAGGAUGAACUCUUUGUCAGUUAAAUACUAAGCAAUUCCAUUUAAGUACUGGUUCCUCUAGGAACUGAAAUAAAACCAUUUUUUCAUAAAUA